AGAGUUUGAUCCUGGCUCAGAUUGAACGCUGGCGGCAUGCUUUACACAUGCGAGUCGAACGGCAGCACGGGUGCUUGCACCUGGUGGCGAGUGGCGAACGGGUGAGUAAUGCACCGGAACGUACCCAGUAAUGGGGGAUAACACAUCGAAAGAUGUGCUAAUACCGCAUACGCCCUGAGGGGGAAAGCGGGGGAUCGUAAGACCUCGCGUUAUUGGAGCGGCCGAUGCCGGAUUAGCUAGUUGGUGAGGUAAGAGCUCACCAAGGCGACGAUCCGUAGCUGGUCUGAGAGGACGACCAGCCACACUGGGACUGAGACACGGCCCAGACUCCUACGGGAGGCAGCAGUGGGGAAUUUUGGACAAUGGGCGCAAGCCUGAUCCAGCCAUGCCGCGUGAGUGAAGAAGGCCUUCGGGUUGUAAAGCUCUUUCGCAAGGAAAGAAAACUUAUCUACUAA
rnacentral:rRNA from 1 species